GGGUUGUGAGGUUAAGCGACUAAGCGUACACGGUGGAUGCCCUGGCAGUCAGAGGCGAUGAAGGACGUGCUAAUCUGCGAAAAGCGUCGGUAAGGUGAUAUGAACCGUUAUAGCCGGCGAUGUCCGAAUGGGGAAACCCAGUGCAAUUCGUUGCACUAUCGUUAACUGAAUACAUAGGUUAACGAGGCGAACCGGGGGAACUGAAACAUCUAAGUACCCCGAGGAAAAGAAAUCAACCGAGAUUCCCCCAGUAGCGGCGAGCGAACGGGGAGCAGCCCAGAGUCUGAAUCAGCUUGUGUGUUAGUGGAACGGUCUGGAAAGUCCGACGGUACAGGGUGAUAGUCCCGUACACCAAAAUGCACAGGUUGUGAACUCGAAGAGUAGGGCGGGACACGUGGUAUCCUGUCUGAAUAUGGGGGGACCAUCCUCCAAGGCUAAAUACUCCUGACUGACCGAUAGUGAACCAGUACCGUGAGGGAAAGGCGAAAAGAACCCCGGCGAGGGGAGUGAAAAAGAACCUGAAACCGUGUACGUACAAGCAGUGGGAGCACCUUCGGGUGUGACUGCGUACCUUUUGUAUAAUGGGUCAGCGACUUAUAUUCUGUAGCAAGGUUAACCGUAUAGGGGAGCCGCAGGGAAACCGAGUCUUAACUGGGCGUUAAGUUGCAGGGUAUAGACCCGAAACCCGGUGAUCUAGCCAUGGGCAGGUUGAAGGUUGGGUAACACUAACUGGAGGACCGAACCGACUAAUGUUGAAAAAUUAGCGGAUGACUUGUGGCUGGGGGUGAAAGGCCAAUCAAACCGGGAGAUAGCUGGUUCUCCCCGAAAGCUAUUUAGGUAGCGCCUCGUGAACUCAUCUUCGGGGGUAGAGCACUGUUUCGGCUAGGGGGUCAUCCCGACUUACCAACCCGAUGCAAACUACGAAUACCGAAGAAUGUUAUCACGGGAGACACACGGCGGGUGCUAACGUCCGUCGUGAAGAGGGAAACAACCCAGACCGCCAGCUAAGGUCCCAAAGUCAUGGUUAAGUGGGAAACGAUGUGGGAAGGCACAGACAGCCAGGAUGUUGGCUUAGAAGCAGCCAUCAUUUAAAGAAAGCGUAAUAGCUCACUGGUCGAGUCGGCCUGCGCGGAAGAUGUAACGGGGCUAAACCAUGCACCGAAGCUGCGGCAGCGACACUAUGUGUUGUUGGGUAGGGGAGCGUUCUGUAAGCCUGCGAAGGUGUGCUGUGAGGCAUGCUGGAGGUAUCAGAAGUGCGAAUGCUGACAUAAGUAACGAUAAAGCGGGUGAAAAGCCCGCUCGCCGGAAGACCAAGGGUUCCUGUCCAACGUUAAUCGGGGCAGGGUGAGUCGACCCCUAAGGCGAGGCCGAAAGGCGUAGUCGAUGGGAAACAGGUUAAUAUUCCUGUACUUGGUGUUACUGCGAAGGGGGGACGGAGAAGGCUAUGUUAGCCGGGCGACGGUUGUCCCGGUUUAAGCAUGUAGGCUGGUUAUCCAGGCAAAUCCGGAUAAUCAAGGCUGAGGUGUGAUGACGAGGCACUACGGUGCUGAAGUAACAAAUGCCCUGCUUCCAGGAAAAGCCUCUAAGCAUCAGGUAACAUCAAAUCGUACCCCAAACCGACACAGGUGGUCAGGUAGAGAAUACCAAGGCGCUUGAGAGAACUCGGGUGAAGGAACUAGGCAAAAUGGUGCCGUAACUUCGGGAGAAGGCACGCUGGUGUGUAGGUGAAGUCCCUGCGGAUGGAGCUGAGACCAGUCGAAGAUACCAGCUGGCUGCAACUGUUUAUUAAAAACACAGCACUGUGCAAACACGAAAGUGGACGUAUACGGUGUGACGCCUGCCCGGUGCCGGAAGGUUAAUUGAUGGGGUUAUCCGUAAGGAGAAGCUCUUGAUCGAAGCCCCGGUAAACGGCGGCCGUAACUAUAACGGUCCUAAGGUAGCGAAAUUCCUUGUCGGGUAAGUUCCGACCUGCACGAAUGGCGUAAUGAUGGCCAGGCUGUCUCCACCCGAGACUCAGUGAAAUUGAACUCGCUGUGAAGAUGCAGUGUACCCGCGGCAAGACGGAAAGACCCCGUGAACCUUUACUAUAGCUUGACACUGAACAUUGAGCCUUGAUGUGUAGGAUAGGUGGGAGGCUUUGAAGCGUGGACGCCAGUCUGCGUGGAGCCAACCUUGAAAUACCACCCUUUAAUGUUUGAUGUUCUAACGUUGGCCCCUUACCGGGGUUGCGGACAGUGUCUGGUGGGUAGUUUGACUGGGGCGGUCUCCUCCCAAAGCGUAACGGAGGAGCACGAAGGUUAGCUAAUCCUGGUCGGACAUCAGGAGGUUAGUGCAAUGGCAUAAGCUAGCUUGACUGCGAGCGUGACGGCGCGAGCAGGUGCGAAAGCAGGUCAUAGUGAUCCGGUGGUUCUGAAUGGAAGGGCCAUCGCUCAACGGAUAAAAGGUACUCCGGGGAUAACAGGCUGAUACCGCCCAAGAGUUCAUAUCGACGGCGGUGUUUGGCACCUCGAUGUCGGCUCAUCACAUCCUGGGGCUGAAGUAGGUCCCAAGGGUAUGGCUGUUCGCCAUUUAAAGUGGUACGCGAGCUGGGUUUAGAACGUCGUGAGACAGUUCGGUCCCUAUCUGCCGUGGGCGCUGGAGAAUUGAGGGGGGCUGCUCCUAGUACGAGAGGACCGGAGUGGACGCAUCACUGGUGUUCGGGUUGUCAUGCCAAUGGCACUGCCCGGUAGCUAAAUGCGGAAGAGAUAAGUGCUGAAAGCAUCUAAGCACGAAACUUGCCCCGAGAUGAGUUCUCCCUGAGACUUUAAGUCUCCUGAAGGAACGUUAAAGACGAUGACGUUGAUAGGCCGGGUGUGUAAGCGCAGCGAUGCGUUGAGCUAACCGGUACUAAUGAACCGUGAGGCUUAGCU
rnacentral:rRNA from 1 species